GACGCUAUUUCGAACACGCCCUGUCCACGUGUUCCUGAAUGUAACACUGCACCCGGAUGUAGUGGGUGAUUAAGCUAAGGAUCAUGUUGCUAGCCCGGUUUGGUAUCUCGACCAUCAAACGUUAUAUGUUGACGAUUAUGUGAUUUAUAGCUAGCUAGAUAACUUGGAUGCAGAUUGCAAGCGUGGCUCAUUUUAACCUGUGCGCUUGGGUCAUUUUGGUGAGGAAGCCUUGAAAUCAGCACUACUGCAGGAGGAACCUGGGAGAGGCUGGAUAACCUGGGAGAGGCUGGAUAACCUGGGAGAGGCUGGAUAACCUGGGAGAGGCUGGAUAACCCGGGAGAGGCUGGAGAGACCCUGAACUGACACCCCAGCCCUGUCCCAAGUCGUCGUUGAUCUUCCACGCCUCCAUGUCCCAGGUGUAGGUUAAACCCUUGAAGCUGGCGAGACCCUGAAGUCCCACCCCUGGGUCCCCUCCCCAGCCUCAGCACCAGCCUCAGCCCCUUUGACGACCUACCAUGCCUCUGAUCGUGGAUGCUGUGUGGGCCGUGUGGAGCAUCGGGGCCGGGGUCUAUGACUACUUCCACACCAGUGCCAUGGAGGAACGCAUCGGCAACCUGGAGAGCGUCCUCACCAUCCACCAGUGUGUCAUAGCAGCUCUGUCCGCAGGCCUCGUCCUCCUCAUGACCUACAUACUGUGGAGAAAACACUGAAGCCAUGGUUGUAUUCAGUCAGUGAGAUGGCACCGGGGGGGGAAGUUUCCCCCUAGGUACAGAUCUUGGAUCAUUUCCCCCUCCCUCAAUCCUAUCUGUAACCAGUAGUGGGGAAAAUACUAAACUGACCCAAGAUCAGCAUCUAGGGGCAACUUCACCCUACUCUAGCGGGGAUGAGACGGUCCUAGAUACUCCAGACCUAAGUACUGCAUUACGGAUAGCAUCGGCUACUCACCAAACUAACAGCCAGUCCCAAAUCACGCCCUAACUCUCCCCCAUUGUCUUAUGUCAUAUCAUGCGAUGACUGUCAGUUUAGGGGCGGGGCAUCGUGUAGGAGUGGCCCCACCUAGCAUAAGAUAAUGACCUUGGCACUAACCUUUGGGUGUUGGCAGAUCUGAAGGGUCUUGAUAGGUAUAAGCAGUGUAACGCUGGUUCAUCACAUUACUACUGGAGCUCAACAGACAGUCCUCAACCCCUCCCUAGUCCUUCCCCUCGGCCCUGACCCUCAAAUGAACAUGGAUAGGUAUGACAACUGGGUAGGUAUAGGAUUCUGUUUCAUCAAAGAGCUACUAUUGGAAGACGAGCUCAAGAGACCAUGAGGAGUUGCUUGUGGAAGCUUCCUGGUGGACAGUAGCCCUGGUAUACAGUGCAAAGGCUCUAGCAGAGCUGGUUGGAGUAGAGUCAUCCCUCCAGGUCUCGUUCGUCACUCUGCUGUUACUUGGGCAAAGGCUCUAUCAGAGCUGGUUGGAGUAGAGUCAUCCCUCCAGGUCUCGUUCGUUACUCUGCCGUUACUUGGGCAAAGGCUCUAUCAGAGCUUGUUGGAGUAGAGUCAUCCCUCCAGGUCUCGUUCGUUACUCUGCUGGUACUUGGGCAAAGGCUCUAGCAGAGCUUGUUGGAGUAGAGUCAUCCCUCCAGGUCUCGUUCGCCACUCUGCUGUUACUUGGGCAAAGGCUCUAUCAGAGCUGGUUGGAGUAGAGUCAUCCCUCCAGGUCUCGUUCGUUACUCUGCUGUUACUUGGGCAAAGGCUCUAGCAGAGCUUGUUGGAGUAGAGUCAUCCCUCCAGGUCUCGAUCGUCACUCUGCCGUUACUUGGGCAAAGGCUCUAUCAGAGCUUGUUGGAGUAGAGUCAUCCCUCCAGGUCUCGAUCGUUACUCUGCCGUUACUUGGGCAAAGGCUCUAUCAGAGCUUGUUGGAGUAGAGUCAUCCCUCCAGGUCUCGAUCGUUACUCUGCCGUUACUUGGGCAAAGGCUCUAUCAGAGCUUGUUGGAGUAGAGUCAUCCCUCCAGGUCUCGUUCGUCACUCUGCUGUUACUUGGGCAAAGGCUCUAUCAGAGCUGGUUGGAGUAGAGUCAUCCCUCCAGGUCUCGUUCGUUACUCUGCCGUUACUUGGGCAAAGGCUCUAUCAGAGCUUGUUGGAGUAGAGUCAUCCCUCCAGGUCUCGUUCGUCACUCUGCUGUUACUUGGGCAAAGGCUCUAUCAGAGCUGGUUGGAGUAGAGUCAUCCCUCCAGGUCUCGUUCGCCACUCUGCUGUUACUUGGGCAAAGGCUCUAUCAGAGCUGGUUGGAGUAGAGUCAUCCCUCCAGGUCUCGUUCGUUACUCUGCUGUUACUUGGGCAAAGGCUCUAUCAGAGCUUGUUGGAGUAGAGUCAUCCCUCCAGGUCUCGUUCGUUACUCUGCUGUUACUUGGGCAAAGGCUCUAUCAGAGCUGGUUGGAGUAGAGUCAUCCCUCCAGGUCUCGAUCGUCACUCUGCCGUUACUUGGAACAGGAUUGAGAGGAAGUUUGAGAGCUGAGGGUAGCUGGAGAGGAGUUCUUCAAUCUGAGAGCUCGAGUGCCGUGUUGACUGUAGCCUGGUCCCCAGAUCUGUUUGUGCUAUUGUGUCCACUCCUUGCCAUGCCAAACAUGGAAUUGACAUGAUAGCACCAACAGAUCUGGGACCAGUCUAUCAUGGCUGGCUGUGAUCAUAAAACACUGUAUUUUGCUACUGUGUGGAUACUGACGUCUAGCCUGGUCCCUGUUCUGUUUGUGCUGUCUUGCCAACAAUGACCAUAAUGACCGUAGGAGUGGGCAAGACCAUACGAACAGAUCUAGGACCAGGCUAACUCAGGCCCCCUUGUUUAAUUUAAAACUACCAUCCAUUGAAUGUGAUUGAUUCAUUUUGGUCCUGUUAUAUUGCUGAAAGGGAUUUGUGAAACAUGGCUUCCGUCCAUGUCACUGUAGAAUAAGCCUACAUAAUAAUGACACUGUUGGGACUAAACAUUAUAAACCGCUUUUCCGGUUUUCUCUGUAUUUGUACGUCAUAACAUCUCCUUUUAAUAUCAUGCUUUUAUCAUUGUUGGAUCUGUUCCCUGUCUACCUGGUUCACUAUUAUCAUGUCUGUCGGCCAUUGUUGGAUCUGUUCCCUGUCUACCUGGUUCACUAUUAUCAUGUCUGUCGGCCAUUGUUGGAUCUGUUCCCUGUCUACCUGGUUCACUAUUAUCAUGUCUGUCGGCCAUUGUUGGAUCUGUUCCCUGUCUACCUGGUUCACUAUUAUCAUGUCUGUCGGCCAUUGUUGGAUCUGUUCCCUGUCUACCUGGUUCACUAUUAUCAUGUCUGUCGGCCAUUGUUGGAUCUGUUCCCUGUCUACCUGGUUCACUAUUAUCAUGUCUGUCGGCCAUUGUUGGAUCUGUUCCCUGUCUACCUGGUUCACUAUUAUCAUGUCUGUCGGCCAUUGUUGGAUCUGUUCCCUGUCUCCCUGGUUCACUAUUAUCAUGUCUGUCGGCCAUUGUUGUCGACUGAAGUGCUACUGUGCGUAUUUUGCUGAAUCACUACCUGUUUGUUGGUUUCUAUGUGAACAAACGGUAUUAAUGUCAGGUUAAUAAAUAAUGUGAUUAACUCUGCA